GCGCAACGAUGAUUUUCUCAUCAAGCAUGGUGAGUAGUUCCAACUACCCUAUAUGUUUGUUGCUUUCCCAAAUGAAGAGCACCACUCUACCUUCAUGGUAGUGGGCAUAAUGUAACUUCCUAAGUUGCUAAUCAUGCUUUCAACUUAAUGCUUUUUUGUAGAGACUGAGAGGAUUGAAGCUUUCAUACUGCACGAAAAGGCAGGAGCCGUGCAACAGUACUCCGGAACCGAACGCAGUAUGUGAAGAGACAACGGAGCCUGGUCCAGAAAAUGAAGAAUCCGACAUUCAGUAAAGUGCGUAGAGGUACGUACGCAAUGCAAAUCCAUGACCAUACGCCCGAUUUCUCGUUCAUUUUGAAGGCAAAAUUCUUCUGUCUUUUCACAAGGAUUUACAAAUGCAAGCGCCGCGCGCAGUUGGCUUUUGCGUGCCAGAUAUGGAACCGAAAAGCAAAUCAAGUUUGGUCAGGGGAAGCAAAAACAGUUCUACUACAGCUUGAAGCUUCAAGAUAAGAUACUGGAAGCUCUGUUGCCAUUCCUCAACUCAAAAUUACCUGUCUCCGGUACGUCCAUGCCUCGGAGUUUCUAUAUUUAGUUAUACCAAUAAUUUUUAUUAGUUAUUAGUUAUUGACUAUUAGUAAUUCUAGUUUUAUUUACUAAAAAUAAUUAUUAAAAUUAUUAAAUUUGGUAAAAAUCGUCAAUGAAUUUGAAGAAAAAAAAAUCGGCUAAAAAUCAUUUAAUUUCAAAGAUUAGAAGUUGAGGAGGGUUUCAACUGAAAAAAAUAAACCUUCAAAAAAAAAAAGAUUUAGAAAAUUUUACUAAAAAUUUAAAUCAAAUAUGUAAAAACUGGGACAGUAUUUAAUUUUUGUAAAUAUUCUUUUUUACGUAAAUUGUCCUAUUGUUAUUUACAACUGAAAGAUAACUAAUCUACUUCACUGGGAAAAGUACAUUUUGAGCUAACACGCUGAGAGUCUUUCUUGGCUCACGUACUCAACACGUGCAAUCAUUAAUCUGCGCUCAAGAAUAAUAGCUAACAAACCACGAAGCUUUCAAGCAUUAAUUAGUUAGCUAGCUCAUUGACAAAUUAACACUCUCAUUCACUACCAUCUCCUUCACUACCAUAUACAUAUCCAGAUACGCUAACAUGACACUUUACCUCAUUACGCCAUUUUUAGCAACACAUGUAGCAAACAUAAUGCGAACCAACUAGGAGUAAAUAAGGAAGAUACAUAAAGGGAGGGUGGGGGGAAUAAUUAAUUUGGAAGACUCCUAACAAUAUCUGCUUGAGCACUGCUUGCGUCGGUCGCCGCGAGUAACUCUGCGAGCCUCUCGCUUAAAUGAUCUGCCUCCUCAUGCAAGCUUCUGAUGUAGUUGCAUAUGUCAUGUAGUAACCUAGCCGCUGACACCUACACGUACCGAUGUAAGUUAUGUGUAUAUAUAUAUAUGGAUAUUAACCAUAGUAUUUCAAUUAAUUAGGUCGUCAAAAUAUGCACUGUUGUGUUAGUGAAAUACUCGUAAUCUAUUACACGUGGGAUGAUUAACUUGGACUUACUCUAUUCGUGUUUCCCACAAGAGACGUGGGGAGCAAAUGUUGCAGCGUGGAGAGCAGAUUAUUGAUCUGGUCUUCUGUGAUUCUUGAAGUACUUGAACGCGGUGAUCGCGGUCUCCUGCUUGACAUCUUUAAUUAUAUGCAAUAUGGCUUAAUAGUGUUCUUAGUAGUAUAUGGUUUUAUAUAGGAGAGAAAAAACGAUCCAGUAGCAAGUUGAGAGAGAGAGAGAGAGAGAGAGAGAGAGAGAGAGAGAGAGAGAUUGUGAAGUCGUAAACUUUGGGUACUGUUUGCAAAUUGUGGUUCGCAAUAGUAUAGUGGAGGCUGUGGAGGAGGGAUUAAAGUAUCUGAGCCUUAUGUGGAGGGUCGGUGUGAAGUCGUAAACUUUGGGUACUGUUUGCAAAUUGUGGUUGGCAAUAGUAUAGUGAAGGCUGUGGAGUAGGGAUUAAAGUAUCUGAGCCUUAUAUGGAGGGUCGGUGUCAGUUUAUUACCAGAAAGCCAUCUUACUUUGUCAAAUUAAACAUGUAGUAUGUUGUGACACUAUCAAGAUUUAAAAUAGUUCUAUAUAAAAAAAAUAUAAUAGCGUUGUUUUUGUUAACCCGGUUAUAGUUGUGGUGGAUAGGCGCAAGAGGUUUAGAGAAUUAAGCAUAUUAGUAUUAGAAUAGUUCUAGGAUAGAAUGACUCUCUGAGAAGUGGGGCGUUACAGUUAAUAUCAAAAUCAAUCAACAACCGGAAUUGUAAGAUGAGUGUUGGUUGAGUUAGGGUCAUAAGGCGGGCAAAAUGCGGCUCUGUUUGGCGAUCAUUGUGGGUGGAGCACGAUUCCCCACAAAAUCGAUCGGCACAAUCGUUGUGGGUGGAACGUGGUUCUCCAUAAGAUCGGUUAAGACUAGUGCCUAGCGAAAUGACUUUUACAUCGUUUGGUACAUAUGAGUGUACUUAAGUCCGAUGAAAAUAUCAAAACUUAAAAAGGGGAGGAAUGUGGUGCUUCUCUACAUUUUGAAAUAAUUUCAUACAAAGAAUAUAAUAAGACUAAUAAUUUUAACCUUUCUAUAGUAUUUUGGAUGAUGAGUAGGUUUAAAAAAUUAUGAGAGCUGAGCUGUUAUUAUUAUUAUUAUUAUUAUUAUUAUUUUUUGACACUCGUGCUACAAACGGUUGGUGUUGUUUCGUGCUUUGUUGUGAGUUGCGAGUUUGCGUGGCAGUAGCGCUGUACUCUGGGGACGGUAUCCGGAGACUUCGUAUCCAUAAACAUGUUUUCGAUGCGUGGCUUAGGCCCACAUAACCCGGACGUUAUAAAGGCCGGAAAAAAAAAAAAAAAGGACUACAUAAAAUGCAUAUCAAUAUCAUUGCGUAGCUCAGGUGGUUGGUUAUCUAACUUUAUCAAGCCUAGAUCCUAGGUACGAUUCGGACUGUGAGCAAAAUUUGGUUUGGUCACGUCGAGCCAACGGGUACUAAAAAAAAAAAAAAAUUAUUAUUAUAUAGACUACUAUAUUAUAAUUUAGUAUUAUUUUUUAUUUAUUAUAUUAUGUAAUUUCUUUCCAAUCUCUACAUUUUGUUCUUCUUCUUUUUUUCGUUAUUCAUCUUACACAGUUUUCGUUAUAAAACUCACUCAACUUUUUUUUUUUCUCGUCAAUCUUUACAUUAUUGUUAAAAAAAUUAUUAUUUUAGACAAUCUAACAAAAUGAUUAAGAGGCACUAAUUGGAUAGUUGAAAAAAUAUAAAAUAAAUUUUUAUAAUGAACUCAUUAAAAGUUUUCGUUAAGUUAUUUUCAACUAUUUUUCAAUCAUUUUUUUAUAUAAUUUUAUUACGUUUUGUGUCAAAACAAGUUAUAGUGUAGAGNAUAGUUAAGUGGUGGCUUUGAAAACAAAAAAUAGUGUAUUAUAGAAAGUGAAAAGAAAAAAACCCUGUAAAUUAUCAUAUAGUAUAAAUUAAAUUAAUUAAGGAAUUAAUUUUUAAUUUCUAUUCUAUUUAGAUCAUCUAUAUCUAUAUAUUAUUUUUUCUAAAUUUAUGGCACGGUAAUAUUUUUUUCAUUAUUGGAUAUGGACUCCACACCGAACCGGCUUUAACUCCUCCAUAUAUUUUUUUCUUUCUUGUUUGAAUCGAACCGAAUUUUUUUUCUUUCUUUACUUGAAUCGCACCAAUCGUUGUCAAGUUCUUCAUAUAUUUUUUUCUCUUUUUUGCUUAAAUCAAAUUAGGUUUCUCUUUAUUUUUUUGCUUAAACAAAAUCGGAUCACAUCUCAGUAUUGGACUGAAUUAUUUCUCUUCCACUUUUUUCGGCUGUUAUCUUUCUUCAUUAGUAAGAUAAAUUUUAUCUCUUAUCGUCGCUUUUUCUAUCGCUAUUUUUUCUUCCUUUAUCAUCAUUUUUUAUUUUUUUUUAAAUUGUCUAUCCGUCGUAUCGCACGAAUUACUAUACUAAUUCAACAAAACUUUAUAAUUUUUUUCUAAUAAAGAAAUGCAAUUCUGAUUGAAUUAUGUGCUACGCCAUUGCGCCGAAUGGUAUGUUUCGAAAAGCACAAGAGAUUCAUGCCGUGAUAGUAAGAUUCCAACCACCUGCGCUAAGGCAACAAUUAUAGCCCCGAAACUUUGUUCCAAAAACAGUGUAAUUUGCCUUGUUGAUCCGGAUGGAUAUGACUUGUAGCUUUUAAUCAACAUGAACUUCUCAAAAUCGCAUUUAAUUUUUGCUACGCCACCUCAUUAUGUGACAAGAUAGUAGGACAUUUUUUGGGCUAUGUGGUGACAAACAAAAAUGGUGAGUCAUUUUCGUCCUCAAGUGAAGACUCUUGGGAAAUGUUUGGUCAAAAAUAUAUGAAAUAAUGAGAAUCGCUUUUCCAUUCAGAUCACAUAAGGAUAACAGAAUUAUUUGACGAUAUGAGAUUCUACAGAAAUUCGUUUGGUAUAGUAUUUUGUUUCACAUAACACUUACCUCUCACACUUCAUUCGGGUCUGAUAUCAAUUGCAACGACCCGACUCGACUAGCAACAAUAAUUAGUUGUGCCCAAACAAUCGGCCAUAAGGUAGUUAUUAUUACUAGUAUGUGAGGUCACGUAUAUUCUAAUGAGAAUUACUUUUUCCGUCCGAUGUGAUGCUAUUGGGACGUUACAUCAUAUCUCCUUCGCACAUCAUCAACAAAAUUUUUGAUAGGUUGUAAUAUGUAAAAUAAUAUGUAAUAAAUAUUCGACGUGAAAUAAGUUAGAAAAACCGUUUUCUUUAAAAGCUUAGAUUAUCAAAAUUGUAUUUGAAUAUUGUAUAUUUUGACAUAAUAUUUAAAACAAUAUCAAGCAAAUAAUUAAGCGACUUGGUCACUUGUGUGUUAGUUGGUAUUGUUCACUUCCUGCUGGAAAAAUAGUUUCCAAAUUAAACACAUUAACUCUUAAUAGGAGUGUGCACAUUCUUAAUAGGAGUGUGCUUGUUGCCCAAAGGCUUGAAAAGGAAACGAAUAAAUCUAGUAACUUCUAGAGCUUGUUUGAGAACAUAGUUCGAAUUUUUCGUGAAAAUGUAAUAAAAGGCUAUUUGAUUGUUUCCAAAAAAAUUUUAAAAAAAUUUGUCUAAAUUUUAUUAAAAAUUACUAUUUUAUUUUAAAAUUUUCUGAGAAAAAUGAAAAUACUAGUUUCUAUAAAAUCUAAAAAAAAAGGUUUUCUAAAAGAGAUAAUUGCCUAUAUACCCUCAAAACUUCAAAAAUAUUUUAUUUAUCCUUGUUUUUUUUUUUUCUUCCAAUAUACCUCUCAUAAGUUCCUUUGUUAUUUCAAAAUACUCUUUACAGUUACCAUCUGUUAAGUUAACUUGGGUUAAAUAUGAGUUAAAUAUUUAUGAGAGUUAAAAAUAAAAUAAAAUAUCUAUUUUGCUCUUAACUUAAGGGUAAAUAAGAAAAUCCGGUGAUAGUAGAAGGAUAUAUUUGAAAGAGCAAAAUAGUAAUUUUAUACAGAUAACAGCUAUUGCUAACAGUUUAUUAAUAGAAUUUAACUCUACUAGGGAUAUAUUUGAAAGCGGUUGGAACGUAAAAAAAUAUAUUUUCAAUAUUAACCUUCUAAGAAAGGCAAAUCAAAAAGUCGGAAAUUUUUAAGAGCUAUAUAAACAAUUGCUCAUUUCUAAAAAGACUAAUUUUUUUUGAAAUUGGACGAAAAACUAGAAAAAAAGAAUUCAUGACAAAUAAAAAAAUUAAAAAAAAAGGAACCAAAAGAGCAAAAUGGCUCAAAACAAAGGAGACAAACUCAUGGGGAGUAAAUGGACCACAAGGCUUGGAUUGUGAGAUCCUGUGUGCUGAGUUAUUUGACUAGUCAAACCACUGAUUGCAACUAGUUCACACCUCACAAUCGCAUGAGCAGUUUAAUACACUUGACCCUACCCACUUGAUCUUCUCUUUCCAUAGAUACUAAUUUUUUAAUUCAAAUUGUAGAGUUUGAAAUAUCUUAUUUUAUUACAUGACCCUUUCACCGAAUCUCGAACAUUCUCUUUUAUGGAAAGCAUCGUCGUACCCUACGUUAGUGGGAAUAAUAAUAGUAUACUAACGUGUCAAAUCUCCUUCCCAAAAAUGGAGAGAUCAGAGAUUUAACCCUCUAAAUACAGUCUUAAUCAAAAAAGUUUUCAUCAAACUGUUUUCUAAUUUUUUUUCUUGAAGUAAGAGCUCCUUCGUACUCAUAAGUUAUUUUCGAUGAUAGAGUUUCUGAAUCGACGAUUCAUUCCGUUAAAUAUGAUCUAGCGUAUUUGAAACUUCUAAAAAAUAAAUUUCAUAUUUUUUUAAAAUCAUAAUAAAGUCCACUAAGCGGGCAUAAAAUGAACAGUCAAAUUCAACUGAUUCCGAUUCUGUUACACCGUUAAACUAGUAUCUCAUAUCGGUCAUUAAAAAUUGAUAAAUUUGAAAUCUUUCGAUCGUAAGGUAAAUAAUGUCAAAAAAUUAUAAAAUUUGAUUUCUAAAAAUUUUAAAUAUUUUGGAUAGCGUUUAACGGUAUGGAUCAUUAAUUCGGAAGCUCUAUUUUCGAAAACGACUUAUGAAUACGAAGGCGGUUGUACUCAUAAGAGUAUAAUAGCCGGACUCUUUGAAGUAAGAUAUGUAUGCUCUAAAUUCUAAACUAAAAAAAAUAUGGAUAUUUGUUAUCUAUUCUGUUGAUGGUCAGUAUCACAUUUAUUAUAGUCCAUCUUGUUUUGUUUUGUUUUUUUUGUUUUUUUUUUUUUUAAGAGCGAUAGAUAGCGCGUUAUCCGUUUCGUUUAUUUUAUUUAGAAAUAAACUUAGCUAGAAAUGUGAAUCAACUAGGAUUUGAAUUUGGGUUUCAGGUACCAAUCACCAAAUCCUUUGCCACUUGCUCUAGGGACGGUACAUUAUAGUCCAUCUUGUUGAUAUUCGCACAUUAAAGCUUUAUAAUUCAACUACUACAAAUUUUUACAGGAUUUUUCCUCAUGAGCACCAAGACAAGUAUAAUUGAAAAGCGACGAUGGAUCAUGGUCAUGCGUGGUUGAUCCUUGCCAUGAUCAUCCCAACAGGCACCAACUGUAGCCAGGAAUAUACUAAUCCACGCA
rnacentral:lncRNA from 1 species